AGUAAAGUCAGCUAAUCAAGCUCUUGGGCCCAUACCCCAAAAAUGUUGGUUAAACCCCCUCCUUUACUA
rnacentral:tRNA from 1 species